GAUGAAUGCUGGCGGCGUGCCUAACACAUGCAAGUCGAGCGGUAACAGGAGUAGUUUACUACUUGCUGACGAGCGGCGGACGGCUGAGUAACGCGUGGGAACGUGCCCCAAAGUGAGGGAUAAGCUCCAGAAAUGGAGUCUAAUACCGCAUAUGAUCUUCGGAUUAAAGGAUUUAUCCGCUUUGGGAGCGGCCCGCGUUAGAUUAGGUAGUUGGUAGGGUAAUGGCCUACCAAGCCGACGAUCUAUAGCUGGUCUGAGAGGAUGAUCAGCCAGACUGGGACUGAGACACGGCCCAGACUCCUACGGGAGGCAGCAGUGAGGAAUCUUCCACAAUGGGCGAAAGCCUGAUGGAGCAACGCCGCGUGAAGGAUGAAGGCCCUCGGGUUGUAAACUUCUUUUAUAAGUGAAGAAUAUGACGGUAACUUAUGAAUAAGCACCGGCUAACUACGUGCCAGCCGCCGCAGUAAGAC
rnacentral:rRNA from 1 species